rnacentral:rRNA from 1 species
GAUGAACGCUAGCGGCAGGCCUAACACAUGCAAGUCGAGGGGUAGAGGCUUUCGGGCUUUGAGACCGGCGCACGGGUGCGUAACGCGUAUGCAAUCUGCCUUGUACUGAGGGAUAGCCCAGAGAAAUUUGGAUUAACACCUCAUAGUAUUUUAGUGUGGCACCACAUUAUUAUUAAAGGUUACGGUACAAGAUGAGCAUGCGUCCCAUUAGCUAGUUGGUAUGGUAACGGCAUACCAAGGCUACGAUGGGUAGGGGUCCUGAGAGGGAGAUCCCCCACACUGGUACUGAGACACGGACCAGACUCCUACGGGAGGCAGCAGUGAGGAAUAUUGGUCAAUGGUCGCAAGACUGAACCAGCCAUGCCGCGUGCAGGAUGAAGCAUCUAUGGUGUGUAAACUGCUUUUGUACGGGAAGAAACACCGCUACGUGUAGCGGCUUGACGGUACCGUAAGAAUAAGGAUCGGCUAACUCCGUGCCAGCCGCCGCAGUAAAAC